rnacentral:rRNA from 1 species
GUAGUAGCAAAUACUCUAGCGAGGGCCUGGAGGGCUGAUGUGGAGAAGGGUUUCGUGUGAACAGCCGUUGCACACGAGUCAGUCGAUCCUAAGCCCUAGGAGAAAUCCGAUGUAUCGGGCCGUCGGCCCGGUCGGGCGAAAGGGAAUCCGGUUCCUAUUCCGGAACCCGGUCGCGGAACCGUCUCACGUCGGGCCCCCCGCUCCACCCCCUCAAAAGGGUGUUUAGCGGGAAGCUCGUCGGGGUAACCCAAACUGACCCGGAGAAGCCGUCGGGAGGUCGGGGAAGAGUUGUCUUUUCUGUUUGAGCGUUCGGGUUCCCUGGAAUUGCCUAGCGCAGAGAUAGGGAAUGGAGCGCGUAGAGCACCGCAGUUGCGGCGGUGUCCCGACAUGCCCUUCGGACCUUGAAAAUCCGGGGACGGGCCACGUGGAGGUGUCGCGCCGGUUCGUACCCAUAUCCGCAGCAGGUCUCCAAGGUCAAGAGCCUCUAGUCGAUAGACUAAUGUAGGUAAGGGAAGUCGGCAAAUUGGAUCCGUAACUUCGGGAUAAGGAU